rnacentral:lncRNA from 1 species
GUCAUUUUUUGCUUUAGGUGGAAGAUGCUUCAGAAAAUUAGAAAAAAAAAAAAACACCCAAGAUAAAAUCCCAUAUGUGAUCGCUAUCCUUCAGCCUUCGGACCAAAUAUUGCUAUUCACUGAUAUAAAACUUUCUCCUGUUUUAGGCAGAAUCCUGACUCAAAGAUUCCUAUUUGGAGCAGAGCUAUUAGGGAUCAGCUGUGAGAGGCAUCAGACCCACAGCAGAAUUUGAGAGAUUCCGUCACAGACAUUGGAAAGAGCAAGCUUGGGCUCUGUCAUAAGUAAUACAUUCUUUUACCUUUUUUUAGCAUUGAGAGUGGCCAAAACCCAAGGAAUUUCACUGUUUAGCACUGAUAGCUAAUGUCCAUGCAAUCUGUGGAAUAUUUUAAUGUUUUCUCUCGGGCCUUCUUUUUCGAGAGCUGAAAAAGUCUUCAGGGCUUGGGAGCCAGCACAGUGAUAUAUGCUGCAUGUCUGUCAGAAAAAUCCAGCAUCUGCUGAACUGAAAGCAGUGGUGACCACACAGGGAGGAUGCUGUCUUCGACCCCCUCAUCUUCAUUCAGGUUUGAACAUUAACUGCAUACAGCCAAGAAAGAAUAUGAAUAUACAGACAGGAAAACUACUGCUUAAUUACUAUGCAAGCUGCUUAGCGCCCAGAGUCAUUGCAUUUUUCAAAGGGACUCUUAAAAUACUGCAUCAGUACAAGUGA